GAUGAAGAACGUAGCGAAAUGCGAUAAGUAGUGUGAAUUGCAGAAUUCAGUGAAUCAUCGAAUCUUUGAACGCACAUUGCGCCCCUUGGUAUUCCGGGGGGCAUGCCUGUUCGAGCGUCAUUUCAACCCUCAAGCUCUGCUUGGUAUUGGGCUCCGUCCUCCUCGGACGCGCCUCAAAGACCUCGGCGGUGGCGUCUUGCCUCAAGCGUAGUAGAAACACCUCGCUUUGGAGUGCAUGGCGUCGCCCGCCGGACGAAACCUUUUGUAUUUUCUCAAGGUUGACCUCGGAUCAGGUAGGGAUACCCGCUGAACUUAAGCAUAUCAAUAAGCGGAGGA
rnacentral:misc_RNA from 1 species